GGGCCCGUAGCUCAGCGGUAGAGCAGCGGACUCAUAAUCCGUUGGUCCCUGGUUCGAAUCCAGGCGGGCCCA
rnacentral:tRNA from 2 species